GACGGCGUACCUUUUGUAUAAUGGGUCAGCGACUUAUAUUCUGUAGCAAGGUUAACCGAAUAGGGGAGCCGUAGGGAAACCGAGUCUUAAUAGGGCGUCUAGUUGCAGGGUAUAGACCCGAAACCGAGUGAUCUAUCCAUGAGCAGGUUGAAAGUGACGUAACAGUUACCGGAGGACCGAACCCACUGUCGUUGAAAAGCCAGGGGAUGACUUGUGGAUAGGGGUGAAAGGCUAAUCAAACUCGGUGAUAGCUGGUUCUCCCCGAAAGCUAUUUAGGUAGCGCCUCGGACGAACACCAUUGGGGGUAGAGCACUGUUUCGGCUAGGGGUCCAUCCCGGAUUACCAACCCGAUGCAAACUACGAAUACCGAAGAGUGAUACUCAGGAGACACACGGCGGGUGCUAACGUCCGUCGUGGAGAGGGAAACAACCCAGACCGCCAGCUAAGGUCCCAAAGUCAUGGUUAAGUGGGAAACGAUGUGGGAAGGCACAGACAGCUAGGAGGUUGGCUUAGAAGCAGCCACCCUUUAAAGA
rnacentral:rRNA from 1 species